AUACUUACCCGGCAGGGGAGACACCAUGAUCACAAAGGUGGUUUUCCCAGGGCGAGGCUCUUGCUUUGCACUGCGGGUGUGCUGACCUCUGCGACUUCCCCCAAUGCGGGAAACUGCAUAAUUUGUGGUAGUGCGGGACUGUGUUUGUGCUCUCUCCUG
ensembl:snRNA U1 U1 spliceosomal RNA